rnacentral:rRNA from 1 species
GGGGGAUGCCUUGGCUCUCAGUGGCGAUGAAGGACGUGGUAAGCUGCGAAAAUUUACGGGGAGGUGCACACAACUAGUGAUCCGUAAGUAUCCGAAUGGGGCAACCCGGCAUGUUGAAGACAUGUCAUCGAAAGAAGCUAACCCGGGGAACUGAAACAUCUAAGUACCCGGAGGAAAAGAAAUCAACCGAGAUUCCCUAAGUAGCGGCGAGCGAACGGGGACCAGCCGAAUCAGUGUGGUGUAGUGGAAGGCUCUGGAAAGUGCCGGCACAGAGGGUGAUACCCCCGUACGCGAAACACCGCAUUGGACACAUUAAGUAGGGCGGGGCACGUGAAACCUUGUCUGAACAUGGGGGGACCAUCCUCCAAGGCUAAAUACUCGUUGUCGACCGAUAGUGAACCAGUACCGUGAGGGAAAGGCGAAAAGAACCCCGGCGAGGGGAGUGAAAUAGAACCUGAAACCGGAUGCGUACAAGCAGUAGGAGCCCUUCGGGGUGACUGCGUACCUUUUGUAUAAUGGGUCAGCGACUUAAUGUCAGUAGCGAGCUUAACCGUAUAGGGGAGGCGUAGGGAAACCGAGUCUUAAUAGGGCGAAUUAGUUGCUGGCAUUAGACCCGAAACCCGGUGAUCUAUCCAUGGCCAGGUUGAAGAUGCCGUAACAGGCAUUGGAGGACCGAACCCACAAAUGUUGAAAAAUUUGGGGAUGAGCUGUGGAUAGGGGUGAAAGGC